rnacentral:rRNA from 1 species
GGGGAAUUUUCCGCAAUGGGCGAAAGCCUGACGGAGCAAUACCGCGUGAGGGAGGAAGGCUCUUGGGUUGUAAACCUCUUUUCUCAGGGAAUAAGAACUGAAGGUACCUGAGGAAUCAGCAUCGGCUAACUCCGUGCCAGCAGCCGCGGUAAUANCGGAGGAUGCAAGCGUUAUCCGGAAUGAUUGGGCGUAAAGCGUCCGCAGGUGGUUUAUCAAGUCUGCUGUCAAAGAGUUUGGCUCAACCAAAUAAAGGCAGUGGAAACUGACAGACUGGAGUGCGGUAAGGGCAGAGGGAAUUCCUGGUGUAGCGGUGAAAUGCGUAGAGAUCAGGAAGAACACCGGUGGCGAAAGCGCCCUGCUGGGCCGUAACUGACACUGAGGGACGAAAGCUAGGGGAGCGAAUGGGAUUAGAUACCCCAGUAGUC